UUGACCUGUGCAGUGGACAUGUGGGCACUGGGCUGCACGGUGGCGGAGUUGGUGACCGGCAGGGAAUUAUUCCAGUCGGACAGCCGCGACGACCACCUCCCGUGCUGCAUGGAGAUCCUCGGGUUGCCUCCAAGAUGUAUGAUGGAUGCAGCUCCUGACGGAAUACACUACUUUGAUCGUGUGGGCAUGAUGUUCUGCCCAGUCAAGAGAAGGGUGCCAGG